UAUAUCCCCACUCGCUGCUGUAAGAUGGAGAAGUUAUGUUGAGGCGCAACCGAGGUUUUGCACAUGAAAAAUGCCGUUAAGUUGGAAUUGCCAAAUCAUAUACCGAAUCGAGUGUAGAAAUUAGUGACCAUGAAGGUUGACAGAAGCAAAUUGAAGAAAACCCCCACUG